rnacentral:rRNA from 1 species
UACGUAGGGUGCGAGCGUUAAUCGGAAUUACUGGGCGUAAAGCGUGCGCAGGCGGUUCGUUGUGUCGGCGGUGAAAGCCCCGGGCUUAACCUGGGAAUGGCCGUCGAAACUGGCGAACUGGAGUGUGGCAGAGGGGGGUGGAAUUCCGCGUGUAGCAGUGAAAUGCGUAGAGAUGCGGAGGAACACCGAUGGCGAAGGCAGCCCCCCUGGGCUAACACUGACGCUCAGGCACGAAAGCGUGGGGAGCAAACAGG